rnacentral:rRNA from 1 species
CAACUCCGGUUGAUCCUGCCGGCGACUACUGCUAUCAGGUUCCGACUAAGCCAUGCGAGUCAAAGGGUCGCAAGACACUGGCGUACUGCUCAGUAACACGCGGACAAUCUAACCCCAGGUGGGGUAUAACCUCGGGAAACUGAGGGUAAUUCCCCAUAG